rnacentral:lncRNA from 1 species
CCAAAAAAGCGGUACGAUCGAGAUUCGAUACAUUUCACUUCUGCAUGUACAUACAGAGCAACAAAAUAACUACUCAAAUUAUGAAAGAUACCUUUCACAACAGGCUGCUGAUUUGGCGCAGCAGGAAGAUCAAUAGAGUCAAUCACAGCCGUCAAAGUAGACGGAGCAGCUGAACUAGCCGAUCUAGUGGAUGAAAGAUCGGAAACUUCAGCUACGGUUCCACCGGCAGUCCAUUCGGUUUCAGAAGCGGCGGAAGCAUUUCGUGAAGGGGCAGAAACCGUCGUCUUUUCCUGAGCUGAGGCCAUUGUAAUGGAUUGGUAAGUUCACCGUAACCGCCGUAGUACUUGUUACUGUAAUAGUAGUAGUAGUAAUCCUCUGACAUACAGAGCUUCACUAUUCUCCUUCUCCGAUUUCAGAAAUUCACCACCUUCCGAAAAGCCCUACUGAUUCUUCUCUCAGCGAAAACUUGUUCGAGUUUUUCAAUGGAGAAUAGUGAAGACGAAAAGCGUGAGAGGGGUAAAUGUUGGGUGGUGGGGUACUUAUAGUGGAGAAUGAAAAGGAAAAGAAGAAGAGCGCCCGGGGGUGGUAGGGUAUCUGGAUUGCGAAUAACUCUCUUUCCAGAAAAAAAC